AACGUAGGACGCAAGCGUUAUCCGGAGUUACUGGGCGUAAAGCGCGGGCAGGCGGCUCUGCCAGUCUGAUGUGAAAUCUCUCAGCUCAACUGGGAGCAGCCAUUGGAAACUACAGAGCUGGAGUCUAGCAGAGGUAGGCGGAAUUCCGGGUGGAGUGGUGAAAUGCGUAGAGAUCCGGAGGAACACCAGAGGCGAAGGCGGCCUACUGGGCUAGUACUGACGCUGAGCCGCGAAAGCCAGGGGAGCGAACGGG
rnacentral:rRNA from 1 species